rnacentral:tmRNA from 1 species
GGGGGCGUAAUGGUUUCGACGGGGACCUUGAGGCAGGUUAAGCGAGCAGAGGCGUCGGCCCUCUAUAAAACCGGCAAACCUUAAAAAUAACUGAGAACAACAAUUCUCUUCCGGUAGCCGCGUAAGGCUGCCCGUCCCGUCCCGAAGGGCCACGAGCGGGAACGGGGCGUCGAUCAGUGGCGUCCGUGAGCGCGCAAAGCUUUGAGCGCGCCAUGCAUAAUGAAGCUACCCGGCCCCGCAGUCUGACGACCGCCUGCCUCGCCGGGGAAUCUUAAAGAUCGUCUGCGCUCGGAGAAAGACCUGAGGAGAGAUUUUCGGACAGGGGUUCGAUUCCCCUCGCCUCCACCA